UAUUUAACCAUCUAGACACCUCUAAAAUUUCAACCACAGAUGUCUCUCUAAUUUCGCAACACAGUCAAGAGUACUAGCCUUUACUUUAUUGCAAAAAUCCAAUUUACCAAUACAAACACAAACUUUGAGCAAUGAUUGCAAAGUCCUUCCAAAUCCUAUGAAAUCUAAUUCUACACCUUUCAAAGGAGCUUGAAGCUAACUCUCU
rnacentral:lncRNA from 1 species